UUGCGAAAUAUUCUCCGUGUUCUGAUUUGUGUAAUAGUCAGGACAAGGCCUAAACAUGUCCGCUUAUAUUGAAGACCCAAUGCGUUGUGUCCCCAGAACCUAGUUCUUUUCCCUAGGUCUGGGUUUUAUAAAUGCUUGGUGCAUAU
rnacentral:snoRNA from 1 species